rnacentral:rRNA from 1 species
UAUGUAGGCGGAUUAGAAAGUCAGGAGUGAAAUCCCGGGGCUCAACCCCGGAAUUGCUCUUGAAACUCCUAAUCUAGAAUCCCGGAGAGGUCAGGGGAAUUCCGAGUGUAGAGGUGAAAUUCGCAGAUAUUCGGAGGAACACCAGUGGCGUAGGCGCCUGACUGGACGGGUAUUGACGCUCAGAUACGAAAGCGUGGGUAGCAAACAG